UAGUGCUCACCAGUCUCAAAAAUGUCACAAUUGCCCGCUAGUCAUCGAAAACUCGAACAUGUCCACAAGUUUGAAUGAACCUGUGAACCUUUUUCCCCUGUGAUUAACUGGCGACCAGUUGAGGUUGUACUCUGCCUCUUACAAGAGUCAUUUAGAAAAUGGAUGGGUUGAUCUCUCAAUGGAAAUUAUCCACGUAGCUUAUUCCACGAGAGGACACAUUCUGCUUAUUUUCUAAAUGCAAACUUUCAAUUGUUUUGAAGAGCAAUCACACACCUGACAUUUUCUGAAGUGUUGUGCAUUCUUACUGAUCUCCAUGUCUCAACUUUGUAGACAUUUCCGCUGGUCUUUUAAGAAAAGGUUAAAGGUGAAUUGCAUCCUCCAUCGCACAGCAACACGCAACACCUGCGAUAAAACGGAUGCGGGUUAAAACAAAGCCCGGUUGACGCGACACUGAAGAGCUCUCUUUGUGCACCUCGGCACGGAUAACCCUCUGCAGUAAAGACACGACAUGACACAGCCAUCAAUUACCACUCGGCGUGUUCUCGCCAUACAGUGAAAAAUGGCAUUGACUUUUACAAAUGUUACAUCCCUGCUAAGAGAGGCACUAACUCACUCGACUGCACACAACAGCAAUCUAUCUAAGAGACACAUUUCUAAAAAUAUAUAUAUUUUUAUUUUACAGUGACAUUCUGCUGGAAGUCGCCCGGCUGUGAUGAAUUUCCUCCCACAGAGAGUUUGUCACUGAGCCACGAUGACCUCGACAGGAAGUUGUCAUUUGCCGGGAGGAAGUGAGGAUUCCAGCGUCCACGGAGGGAGAUGCAUGACGAGGUUGCGGCUUUGAAGAAGUGGAAUGCCACUUUCAGCCUGCGAGGGUCGCUCAGGAAUCUACACCGACUGGCCGCAACAUUAGGAAGUGACAUCAAGCAGAUCCUCAGCAGGCUAUGGGAAAACCAAAAGUAAAUUCACUCAUUUAUUUUUCUGCAUUUUUUUAUGAGAUUAAUCUGCUUAGUGUCAACAUAAUAUUAGCAUCUAUGGCUAUACAGUAUUUAAUCCAUUUGCUAAUUCAAUGCUAAACUUUUUUUUUUUUUAGUCCUGUUACUCAAAUGAGGACUUUCAGCACAAAUGCAGACAAUUCUGAGUACUUGAAUGUUUUUGUUUUGUUUUUAAAACAGAUUUAGGAUUGAGCAAUUAUGCAAAUUGUAAUUUUGGUGGAAUGAGCCUAAUGCAGUUGUCACCUCAUCAUGUAACAAAUAAUUGAACUCUCCGAUUGAUUGUAAUAUAUACUGCUAAAAAAUAAAUAAAGGGGACACGUAAACAGCGCAAUGUAACUCUCAAGUGUUCCCUUUAUUUUUUGGAGCAGUAUAUAACGUUCACAGCAAAUGAACCCUUUCACGCACCCUCUAACCUGAUCAGAUGAUAAACUGUCCACGGUAGUAACCGCUGUCCCUGAAAGGGUUCAAUAUCAAAUCACAAGUCGGUGAAAAUUGUGACACACAAAUAUUGAUGACACGACUGUAGUUCACUUUCUGUUAAAAAGGAGUUUAGUGUGGAAAAUGCUUGCAAUCUGUGAAAAGUGAAGAAAAUGAGCCAUUUUGCUUCAGGUUUUCUGUCAAAAUGAAGGGAACAAACCCAGGCGUUUGUUCCAUUCACACUUGUGGACAAUUCAUCCGAAGAGUAGUCCAAUCCCGAUGUCAUUCAGGGUGAAUCUUUCUCAAUGAUUGAGCACGUCGGAGACUUUUUGGUCUGCAUCUUUUAUUCGGUUUUUGUGUAAAAUUCAAUGGAUUUAACAUUGGAUAUAUUCAUAGAUACAUCUAACAUACAACAAAUAUGUCAUAACCAAACGUACAACGUCCCUUUACC